GCGUGAGUGAAGAAGGCCCUAGGGUCGUAAAGCUCUUUCGCCUGUGAUGAUAAUGACAGUAGCAGGUAAAGAAACCCCGGCUAACUCCGUGCCAGCAGCCGCGGUAAUACGGAGGGGGUUAGCGUUGUUCGGAAUUACUGGGCGUAAAGCGCGCGUAGGCGGAUUGGAAAGUUGGGGGUGAAAUCCCGGGGCUCAACCCCGGAACUGCCUUCAAAACUCCCAGUCUAGAGUUCGAGAGAGGUGAGUGGAAUUCCGAGUGUAGAGGUGAAAUUCGU
rnacentral:rRNA from 1 species